rnacentral:lncRNA from 1 species
CUCAGACAGAACAGAGAGAAGAAGAGCUAGGCAACGAACAAGAAAAUGAACACAGACAUUACAGCAUCGGCAAAGCCGGAGUAUCAGGUGAUUGAUCGGAACCCUCCGUUUACUAAGACGGUGGCCAAUUUCAACACCCUCGACUACCUCCGCCUCACCACAAUCACCGGCGUUUCCGUCGUCGUCGGCUACCUCUCCGGUACAGAAAUGUACCCAUUCUUUUAGUAUUAUGUGAUUGAUUGUUCAUUUUGUUUAAUCGUGAUUGAUUGUUCAUUUUGGAUAUUGUUAUAUUGAUUGAAAUUUUUCUUAAUUUUUUCCGUUUAAAAAUUGACUGAUAGGAAUUAAGCCGGGAAUAAGGGGCCCAUCUAUGGUAACUGGUGGUUUGAUUGGGGUGAUGGGAGGUUUCAUGUACGCCUACCAGAAUUCAGCCGGGAGGCUCAUGGGAUUUUUCCCCAACGAAGGGGAGGUUAUAAAGUACAAGAAGUUUUCCUCUUAGGGUUUUUUCUCCUUUGCAUUUAUAUUGUAUUUUUUUUUUACCCUAAUUUGUUUCGCAUUGUUUGCAUUGUGUGUUUGGAAGUCUUUAUAAUAUUAACAAUAAUCAAACCGUUGGUCCUGAUACUCUAAAUUCCUGGUGCUGCAGAUAUUGUAUGUUUCAAUGUGUAAUUGAAUGCUGCUUAUCCUCC